GUCUAUGGCCAUGCUACCCUGAACAAGCCCCGCGUCUGAUCUUGGAAGCUAAGCAGGGAUGGGCCUGGUUAGUACUUCGAUGAGAGACCACCUAGGAAGCCAAGUGUUGUAGGCA
rnacentral:rRNA from 1 species